GACAGAGGGUGCAAACGUUGUUCGGAAUUACUGGGCGUAAAGCGCGUGUAGGCGGCAGCGUGUGUCGGGCGUGAAAUCCCACGGCUCAACCGUGGAAGUGCACUCGAAACUGCGCAGCUAGAGUCCUGGAGAGGAAGGUGGAAUGCUUGGUGUAGAGGUGAAAUUCGUAGAUAUCAAGCGGAACACCGGUGGCGAAGGCGACCUUCUGGACAGUGACUGACGCUGAGACGCGAAAGCGUGGGGAGCAGACAGG
rnacentral:rRNA from 1 species